AUCUGGCUCCUCUGGAGUCCGAAUUGUAAUUUGUAGAAGAUGCUUUGGGUUGUGGGUUCGGCCUAAGUUCCUUGGAACAGGACGUCAUAGAGGGUGAGAAUCCCGUAUGUGGCCGAGGCCCGCGCCUAUGUAAAGCUCUUUCAACGAGUCGAGUUGUUUGGGAAUGCAGCUCAAAAUGGGUGGUAAAUUUCAUCUAAAGCUAAAUAUGGGCCAGAGACCGAUAGCGCACAAGUAGAGUGAUCGAAAGAUGAAAAGCACUUUGGAAAGAGAGUUAAACAGUACGUGAAAUUGUUGAAAGGGAAGCGCUUGCACCCAGACUUGGGCGCUGCUGAUCACCUUGAGGUCUCCUCGAGUGCACUCGACAGCGCACAGGCCAGCAUCGGUUCGGGUGGCUGGAUAAAGGCCGUAGGAACGUAGCUCUCUUCGGGGAGUGUUAUAGCCUACGGUGCCAUGCAGCCCAGCCGGACCGAGGACCGCGCCUUCGGGCUAGGAUGCUGGCGUAAUGGGUGUAAGCGACCCGUCUUGAAACACGGACCAAGGAGUCUAACAUCUAUGCGAGUGUUUGGGUGGUAAACCCAUACGCGGAAUGAAAGUGAACGUAGGUGAGAACCCCCUUUGGGGGCGCAUCAUCGACCGAUCCUGAUGUCUUCGGAUGGAUUUGAGUA
rnacentral:rRNA from 1 species